ACCAAGGAGUCUGACUUGUGUGUGGAUAAACGGUUGAGUAAACCCAUAAGGCGCAAGGAAUCUGAUUGGUGGGAUCCCUCUGAGGGGUGCACCACCUACCAACCUUGAUCUUUUGAGAAGGGUUCAAGUGUGAGCAUACCUAUCGGGACUCGAAAAGUGGUGAACUAUGCUUGAGUGAGGCGAAGCCAUAGAAAACUCUGGUAGAGGCCCGCAGCGAUACUGACGUACAAAUCAUUCAUCUGACUUGGGUAUAGGGGCGAAAGACUAAUCGAACUGUCUAGUAGCUGGUUCCCUCCGAAGUUUCCCUCAUGAUAGCUGGAACUCACGAGCAAUUUCUAUCGGGGAAAGCCAAUGAUUCGAGGCCUCAGUGGCGCAAUGCCCUCGACCUAUUCUCAAACUUUAAAUAGGUAGGACAGCGCGGCUGCUUUGCUGAGCCACGCCACAGAAUCAAGAGCUCCAAGUGGGAUAUUUUUGGUAAGCAGAACUGGUAAUAUGGGAUGAACCGAAAGUCAGUUUAUGGUGCCAAACUACACAUUAACCUAGAUCCCACAAAAGGUGUUGGUCGAUUAAGACAGCAGGAUGAUGGUCAUAGAAGUCGAAAUCCACUAAAGAAUAUGUAACAACUCACCUUCCAAAUCAAUUAACCCUAAAAAUAGAUGGCUCCUAAGUACGCGACCUACACCCGGUUGUUGGGGAAAGUUCCAGGCCUCGAUGAGUAGGAGGGCACGGUGGUCGCUGCAAAACCUUGGGCGCGAUCCUGGGUAGAGCGGCCGUCGGUGUAGAUCUUGGUGGUAGUACAAAAUAUUCAAAUGAGAACUUUGAAGGCUAAAGAGGAAAGAGGUUCCAUGUGAACGACACUUGUACAUGGGUUAGUCGAUCCUAAAGGUCGGGGGAACCCCGAUAGUAGCGCAUUUUGUGCGUACUCCAAAAGGGAAUUGGGUUACAAUUCCUAAAUCAAGAUAUGGCGGUUGACGUCAACAUUACGAAGUCUGGAUACAUCAGCGGGAGCCUUGGGAAGAGUUAUCUUUUUUGUUUAAUAGCCUGCCUACUCUGGAAUCGGCUCAGCCAGAGGUAGGGUCUAGAGGCUGGAAGAGCAGCGCACGCUGCGUGGUAUCCGAUGCUCUCCCGACAGCCCUUAAAAAUAUGAAGGACCGAAUUCCAUCCACUCCCAGUCGCACUUUUAACCGUAUCAGGUCUCCAAGGUUAACAACCUCUAGUC
rnacentral:ncRNA from 1 species